rnacentral:tRNA from 1 species
GGUUGUGGCUUAGAGGUAGAGUGCUCGCCUAACAUGUGUGAGGGCCUUGGUUCAAAGCUCAGCACCA